AGUGAACGCUGGCGGUAGGCCUAACACAUGCAAGUCGAACGGCAGCACAGUAAGAGCUUGCUCUUACGGGUGGCGAGUGGCGGACGGGUGAGGAAUACAUCGGAAUCUACUUUUUCGUGGGGGAUAACGUAGGGAAACUUACGCUAAUACCGCAUACGACCUACGGGUGAAAGCAGGGGAUCUUCGGACCUUGCGCGAUUGAAUGAGCCGAUGUCGGAUUGGCUAGUUGGCGGGGUAAAGGCCCACCAAGGCGACGAUCCGUAGCUGGUCUGAGAGGAUGAUCAGCCACACUGGAACGGGGACACGGUCCAGGCUCCUACGGGAGGCAGCAGUGGGGAAUAUUGGACAAUGGGCGCAAGCCUGAUCCAGCCAUACCGCGUGGGUGAAGAAGGCCUUCGGGUUGUAAAGCCCUUUUGUUGGGAAAGAAAAGCAGCAGGUUAAUACCCCGCUGUUCUGACGGUACCCAAAGAAUAAGCACCGGCUAACUUCGUG
rnacentral:rRNA from 1 species